rnacentral:rRNA from 1 species
UACAGAGGGUGCAAGCGGUAAUCGGAAUUACUGGGCGUAAAGGGCGCGUAGGCGGAUGAAUAAGUUAGGUGUGAAAUUUCUGGGCUUAACCUGGGAACAGCACUUAAAACUGUUGAUCUAGAGUAGAGUAGAGGGAAGUGGAAUUUCCGGUGUAGCGGUGAAAUGCGUAGAGAUCGGAAAGAACACCAGUGGCGAAGGCGGCUUUCUGGACUCAUACUGACGCUGAGGCGCGAAAGCGUGGGGAGCAAACAGG